UGGCCCCGAUUGAAGGAACGACGAUUUUCAGGAUUGACGUGGAUGGAUUUUCUUGAACAUGACGGUGUCAUUUUUGUUGCCAUUGAACACUAUAGAUCAUUAGUUCAGAGGAGGCUCGUGAUGGCACACAACAAUGAAGGGAACGAGAUAAAAUAGGAGGAUGUCUGAGGAGCAGGGCCAAGACUAAACAAAGAACGAAGAAUGCCUUUUCAUUUCAUGAUCAUAAAACACUACUAAGAUUAUUUUUCAUAUGGCAACUGUCGGAGCUAAGAGGCAGCCCCCGAAGCACCAACACGACGCCAACUGGUCUGCCAUCUCCCAAGAUAUGGAUGUAACUCGAUCCACUGUGUCCGUUCAUAAGUUGACAAUGGCGGCACAACAGCCAGGAGGAGACGGUGGCGAGCCCCCCUCCUCCAACUGUAGCAAUCCACCAGGCGGCGGCACGAACGACCUUCAUCUCUAGAUGCUUCCCUGCACACCGAUGAGAUUCACGCCGAUGGUCUUGACUUAUGACCAAUGUCCUUCAGACCUGAAGUCCCUGUAGUACCCAAG